AUGUCCAGCAGUGGACGACUGUGGGCUG
rnacentral:sRNA from 1 species